UGGGGAAUUUUGCGCAAUGGGGGAAACCCUGACGCAGCGAUGCCGCGUGGAGGACGAAGGUCUUCGGAUUGUAAACUCCUUUUGCGGGGGACAAAUUCCGGCGUGAAUAACGCCGAUUGAUGGUACUCCGCGAAUAAGCCACGGCUAACUUCGUGCCAGCAGCCGCGGUAAGACGCAGGUGGCGAGCGUUACUCGGAAUUACUAGGCGUAAAGCGCGAGCAGGCGGUUCGACAAGUCCGUUGUGAAAGCUCCAGGCUCAACCUGGAGAGGUCAAUGGAUACUGUCGGACUUGAAUACGAGAGAGGUCACUGGAAUUCCUGGUGUAGCGGUGAAAUGCGUAGAUAUCAGGAGGAACACCGAAGGCGAAGGCAGGUGACUGGAUCGUUAUUGACGCUGAGUCGCGAAAGCCGGGGGAGCAAA
rnacentral:rRNA from 1 species